CAGACUAUUUGGCAUUUGAAGAAGCAGCAGCACAUCUCAGCCCUUCUGUUACUUUUUAUGCUACAUUUGACAGAGUGGUUGCAAAACACCUCAAAUUAACAACAGUUGGUGAGAUUCAAUUAGUCAAACCAUUUAGUAAAACACCAAUCCCAUGUCCACAAAAUCCUGCAACUGCCGCUGAUAUAGAAGCUUUUGUGAAUUCCAAUGAAGGCUCUAUUUUAUCCAAGAUUAAUGAACAUAAUCUUUAUGAUCCAAAACUGUUAGAUCCAAACAGAUAUUUAGUCCUAGCUGUUGG